GUGACCUGCGGAGGGAUCAUUACAAGUGACCCCGGCUACGGCCGGGAUGUUCAUAACCCUUUGUUGUCCGACUCUGUUGCCUCCGGGGCGACCCUGCCUUCGGGCGGGGGCUCCGGGUGGACACUUCAAACUCUUGCGUAACUUUGCAGUCUGAGUAAACUUAAUUAAUAAAUUAAAACUUUUAACAACGGAUCUCUUGGUUCUGGCAUCGAUGAAGAACGCAGCGAAAUGCGAUAAGUAAUGUGAAUUGCAGAAUUCAGUGAAUCAUCGAAUCUUUGAACGCACAUUGCGCCCCCUGGUAUUCCGGGGGGGCAUGCCUGUUCGAGCGUCAUUUCACCACUCAAGCCUCGCUUGGUAUUGGGCAACGCGGUCCGCCGCGUGCCUCAAAUCGUCCGGCUGGGUCUUCUGUCCCCUAAGCGUUGUGGAAACUAUUCGCUAAAGGGUGUUCGGGAGGCUACGCCGUAAAACAACCCCAUUUCUAAGGUUGACCUCGGAUCAGGUAGGGAUACCCGCUGAACUUAAGCAUAUCAAUAAGCGGAGGAAAAGAAACCAACAGGGAUUGCUCUAGUAACGGCGAGUGAAGCAGCAAUAGCUCAAAUUUGAAAUCUGGCGUCUUCGACGUCCGAGUUGUAAUUUGUAGAGGAUGCUUCUGAGUGGCCACCGACCUAAGUUCCUUGGAACAGGACGUCAUAGAGGGUGAGAAUCCCGUAUGCGGUCGGAAAGGCGCUCUAUACGUAGCUCCUUCGACGAGUCGAGUUGUUUGGGAAUGCAGCUCUAAAUGGGAGGUAAAUUUCUUCUAAAGCUAAAUAUUGGCCAGAGACCGAUAGCGCACAAGUAGAGUGAUCGAAAGAUGAAAAGCACUUUGGAAAGAGAGUUAAAAAGCACGUGAAAUUGUUAAAAGGGAAGGGAUUGCAACCAGACUUGCUCGCGGUGUUCCGCCGGUCUUCUGACCGGUCUACUCGCCGCGUUGCAGGCCAGCAUCGUCUGGUGCCGCUGGAUAAGACUUGAGGAAUGUAGCUCCCUCGGGAGUGUUAUAGCCUCUUGUGAUGCAGCGAGCGCCGGGCGAGGUCCGCGCUCGGCUAGGAUGC
rnacentral:rRNA from 1 species